GAUGAACGCUAGCGGCAGGCUUAACACAUGCAAGUCGAGGGGUAACAUGGUAGCAAUACUGAUGACGACCGGCAAACGGGCGCGGAACACGUACACAAUCUGCCUUUGUCUGGGGGAUAGCCCGAAGAAAUUCGGAUUAACACCCCAUAUUAUAAUUAGGUGGCAUCACCUUGAUUAUUAAAACUCCGGUGGACAAAGAU
rnacentral:rRNA from 1 species